UGUUAUAAAUUUGGGCUGCCUGUCUCUUUCCAAAAGACUGCCUAACAGAAUGGUGAAGACCACUCUCUUGCAUAUGUGUAGGGUUUAUUCCUCAGUGUGUUGCUUUAAGGUUCCUAAUGGGCAGAACACAGUGGUAGAUGACUUAACCAUGAGAGGUAUACACCCAGUCAGGUUUCAGAUCAGGGGAGGACCCUAUAUGUGCCCGAGCUGUUUUAUCUGUCUACUCCAGAAUCUGUGUGACUAUCACAGCCUGCAAAACCUCUUUUAACUCUGUUAUCCUUCUGGCCCAGGAGUGAGAAUGCCACACCCAGCAUUUCUUUCAGAAAAACCAAUGCUUCAGUUUCUGCAAUGGGUGAAGGUUCAUAUCCGCGUGAAGAUCUUAUAUAAGACUGUAUCGUUUUGCCUGUUUUAUGUGUCCAUAUGGCUUGAUGUUCAGCAGAGGCAGGCUUGGCAGUUGCAGAAACAGAUGUCCUCUGGGUCUAGAAGGGGCUGGUGGAGACAGGACUUAUGCUGGGCCCCCGUUCUCCAAGAAGCUGUGCGCGCGCUAGUUCGGUCGUGCCUCAGGAAGAGGGGCAGGAGGUCUGCAGUGAAAGGGACGUCUCUGAAAGCGUGCAGGAGGAAGAUGCCCAGGACGAUGGUGAGGAAGCCGCUGAUGGUACCAAUGAUGUUCAUCAGGACCAGAUGCUGCCAUUCCUUGAACAGGAUGGCAGAGCAGGCCAUGACUGCUGUGGUGAAGAGGACAUAAUAGAUGGGCGUGACCACAGAGGUGUUGAAGAUAUCCAAGGCCUUGUUCAGGUAGUUGAUCUGGACACUGACGCAGAUCACGAGGCCAAGGGAGAGCACCCAGCCCAGUGGUUCCUUCCAGACUGGCUUCCCGGCAAACAGCUCCUUCGCGGCGAUGCCCAAGCCUUUGACGCAAGCGACAGAGAGCGAACCAAUGGCGGAACAGAUCAGAACGUACACCAAGACGUUGCUCUGCCCAUAGCGAGGUCCGGCCAAGAAGAUGAGAAGAACUGAACUCACCAAUACACACAAAGCAAAUAUAAUGAAGCCUGGAAGAGAGGGGUGGGGGAAGCAUUAAGGACAAUCUGCAUUUUGGGGCACAGCUAAUUUUUUCAGCAUUUAGUCACAGGGGGCUUCAGUUUUGUCUAGAUCAGAGGUUCUCAAACUGGACUACUACUGGUCCAUGAGCUCCAUUCAAGUGGUCCGUAGAAAGGUUGCAGAACAAUUGAAGCUAUUCUGACCAAGGAUGGAUUAAAGAACAGGCUAACAAGGUCCCUGGCCCAUUAUUUUCAUAAUACAGUGCUAGUGCAAUCUACUAAUUUCCCCCUAAAAGGAUGCCAGUUAAAGGAUCCCACUAAUGGCCUGGCGUGGUGGCUGUGACUUUCAUCCUACAGCACUAGUUUUGAUAAUGGUGGUGGUGAAGACACAGUGUUAUAAAAAUGCGAACUAUGAAUGGGCUUUUUAUUUUUAAAAAAUAUUAACUAGUUUGGCGAGACCCUCCAGCAAUUUUCAAGUGGUCUGUGGAGAAAAAAUAGUUUGAGAACUGCUAGUGUAGAUCACUGACUGUAUAAGAUGGAUAUGGUUAAUAGAAUCUGGUCAGAAAAA